rnacentral:rRNA from 1 species
UGGAAACGAUAGCUAAUACCGCAUAAGAACAUUUACUGCAUGGUAGAUGUUUAAAAGGUGCAAAUGCAUCACUACCAGAUGGACCUGCGUUGUAUUAGCUAGUAGGUGAGGUAACGGCUCACCUAGGCGACGAUACAUAGCCGACCUGAGAGGGUGAUCGGCCACACUGGGACUGAGACACGGCCCAG